rnacentral:rRNA from 1 species
CAGUCGCCGCGGUAAUACGUAGGGUGCAAGCGUUGUCCGGAAUUAUUGGGCGUAAAGAGCUCGUAGGCGGUUUGUCGCGUCUGCUGUGAAAACGCGAGGCUCAACCUCGCGCCUGCAGUGGGUACGGGCAGACUAGAGUGUGGUAGGGGAGAUUGGAAUUCCUGGUGUAGCGGUGGAAUGCGCAGAUAUCAGGAGGAACACCGAUGGCGAAGGCAGAUCUCUGGGCCAUUACUGACGCUGAGGAGCGAAAGCGUGGGGAGCGAACAGGAUUAGAUACCCCUGUAGUCCCUGUCUCUUAUAC